rnacentral:lncRNA from 1 species
GCUUUUUCUUUUCCUUGUGUUUUGUAUGUUUUUCUCAUGUCCGCUCCUUGUAAAUGUCAGGAUGUUCUGCAAUCCCAAAAAACUGGCUACUCACAAGAAGUGGAAGACAGAUCAAUCCGUUGUUCCUCAUUUGUUGUUACAUGUGAACACAUGAAAUUUGUGUUCCUUUUCCUUUGUUUCCAUGAAGUAGUAGUAGUUGCGGCUCUGUUUAAGUUAAUAUUGAAAAAGUAUUGUAUUGGCAUUUGUUGGGCCUGGGAUU